rnacentral:rRNA from 1 species
UACGGAGGGUGCAAGCGUUAUCCGGAUUUACUGGGUUUAAAGGGUGUGUAGGCGGGCUUUUAAGUCAGUGGUGAAAUCUCCGGGCUCAACCUGGAAACUGCCAUUGAUACUAUUAGUCUUGAAUUUUGUUGAGGUAGGCGGAAUAAGUCAUGUAGCGGUGAAAUGCAUAGAUAUGACUUAGAACACCAAUUGCGAAGGCAGCUUGCUAAACAAAUAUUGACGCUGAGGCACGAAAGCGUGGGGAUCAAACAG